AUGUUUUUCUCUCCUCAGAGACUUAAAAACCCCAAAGUGGAAAAGGCAGAGAUUUUGCAAAAAACGGUUCAGUUUCUGAAGACUCAGCCUUUAUCAGAGACGAAGCACAAAGAGGAGGCUUUCCUGCAAAGAUACCGCAGCGGCUACCGGGAGUGCCUGACGCAAGCCACCCACUUCCUCCGAGGGAACUCGGGCCUCUGCCAGGGCAAGAAGGCCUACUUGAUGGAGCACAUCUGCCACUGCAUGGAGAAGAUCGCGGCCAGCCCUCGGGCGGAGACCCACCAGCCGCCCUCCACGGCUUCCAGCCCCGGAUACGGUGACCUGCAACAACGCUACAGCCCCGAUGUGUUUGCGAGCUGCAGUCCUGCUCUUGGGGGAGCUCCCUAUGUGUUGCACCCACCUCCGGCCGGUUGCCCCAUCCGCCAAGGACUGCAGGCAUCUCGCAUGAAUGGCUUGGGCCAACCAAAUGGAUGCAGCCGGCCGUCUUCGCAGCAGAGCAAACUCUCGGAAACACGGAAUCCUGUAACGGCGCAGAAUCCACAAGCGCUCAACGUUUGGAGACCCUGGCCUUGAAGAGCCCACUUCUUUUUUCCUAUCCUCAUCUUGUAAAUGUAUAUUAAAUUCUAUAUAUAUAUUGUAUAUAAUGGGUUUUAUGUUGGCAAAGAACCAGAGGUGUCUUUUCUAUGGUGGCGGUGGAUUGGUGCUUUGCUUCUUCUUGUACUUUUCUUGGGGGGAAAAGACUAGAAAUUGGACACAACACAUUGCAAAUGAUGUCUAUACUGUAACUAUAUCUAAGUAAACACACUAUAUCAGGCAUGGGCAAACUUUGGCCUUACCGGCUGUUGGGAAUUGUGGGAGUUGCAGUCCAAAACACCUGGAGGGCCAAAGUUUGCCCACGCCUGCACUAUAUACACACAUAGAUGUAUAUGUACAUUGUAAUCAGGAAAUUACAUCCCAGAAAUAUACAAUGAACAGAAUGGACUUGCUUAAUGGAUGUAAUGAGGACAGUUUCAUAAUUACUUUUAAAUUGUAGCUUUUAAAAAGGGUUUUGGAUGGGAAUUUUCAAAAUUUUUGGGACUUUGGGUAAAGAAAAAAACGAAUGCCACAAGUAAUUUUUAAAAUAUUCUAAUAAGACAUGGCAAUGGCAACGAGUGAUGGGGGAGGGGGGGACAAUUGCUUUCCAAAGCUUACAAAGAGCGACAGUGUUGUCUUUUAAAUUUCCCUUUGUCUCUUGUCAUUAGUGCUGAUUGAACAGAGCUAGAUUAUAAUUAUUGGACUCUGAAGAAAAUUUGUGACGUGGGUUUUAUUUUCAUGGUGAUUUUCUCAUCCUCUGCAUUUACUAGCCUUGUUUUGUUGGGUGGGGGAUUUGGGUAUUUUGGAAGAGCAGAAUAUUUCUUGAUUUUCCAAGAAAAGCUUAUAGUUUUAAAUGCUCAGACUAAAGGACAGUGUGCAAAACCAUAGCCUUGUGACUGUGUUUUCAACAUCCUGCCACCUCCUGGUUCUGUGAGCCACCUUCUCUGACCAUGCACGGAUGACAGGCUACCUUUCAUGUCAUCGAUUUUUCAAAGGAAUGAUCUUGGCUAUCCAAUGGCCAGCCACUAAAUAGGCAACAUCCCUUUCCUGGGACUGGACACAACCAGGAGGAAAAAAUGACUACUAGGAGAUGCAUCCCUUGCCCAUUUUCCCUGGACUUUCCUUUCUCUUGGAGAAAAAGAGUUUCUGUAAAUUCUGGCAAGAAGGAAUCUAGUACUAUAUCUCAUUCAACAACAACAACAAAAUUGCGGUCUGUGUGUCUGCCAAUGGCACCCCUAACUAUGCAUACUCUCUACUAACUCUCUGAAAUUAUGGAUAACACUCUUUAUGCAUCUGAUGAACUUGCCUGUAUUUUGCAAAAGCUCAUGCUAGAAUACUACUAAUAAUAAAUCCAGUCUUUACAGUGUCUCCAGGACUCAUUUUUUGUUGACAUUCUUGUUAGGAUAUUCUGUUAUGUUAGGAAAAAUUACCCCAAAACAGCGGAGCAUCCAAAAAUAUGUAAAAGCAGGAUAUGUAUAGUUGAGCAUUCAGCUCACAGCAAGCAGAGUGUGAAGUGCCAUGUGGCUGUAAAGAAUUCAGAGCUUAGGAGGCCCCAAGCACUACAUCACUCCUGACACACAAGCAGAGCGAGAUCUCAAUACACACAGCACACACCAAGAUGCCAAAGUAGAAGUCAAAGACAAAAGGCAUACACCUGCAAAGUAUUCAUUGUACACAACCAAUCAGAAGAGAGGAGAGAAAAAAAUAGAUACUGCACAUUCCAAUUGUCAUUCAGGAGGGGGGGGAUUUCCCUCAGCCUAUUUUAAGCUAAUUAACUAACUACUCCUCAUUGAGGACUGCAGACUUGGGCAGUGUGGAGUUGAACUCCAACAAUUCUCCCAU
rnacentral:lncRNA from 1 species